GGAAUAUUGGACAAUGGGGGGAAACCCUGAUGCAGCAACGCCGCGUGAGUGAAGAAGUCAUUCGUGAUGUAAAGCUCUAUCAGCAGGGAAGAAAAUGACGGUACCUGACUAAGAAGCCCCGGCUAACUACGUGCCAGCAGCCGCGGUAAUACGUAGGGGGCAAGCGUUAUCCGGAUUUACUGGGUGUAAAGGGAGCGUAGACGGCGAGACAAGUCUGAAGUGAAAUGCCAGUGCACAACACUGGAAUUGCUUUGGAAACUGCCUGGCUGGAGUGCGGGAGAGGUAAGUGGAAUUCCUAGUGUAGCGGUGAAAUGCGUAGAUAUUAGGAGGAACACCAGUGGCGAAGGCGGCUUACUGGACCGUAACUGACGUUGAGGCUCGAAGGCGUGGGGAGCAAA
rnacentral:rRNA from 1 species